rnacentral:rRNA from 1 species
UAGGGAAUCUUCCGCAAUGGGCGAAAGCUUGACGGAGCAACGCCGCGUGAGUGAUGAAGGUCUUCGGAUCGUAAAACUCUGUUAUUAGGGAAGAACAAAUGUGUAAGUAACUAUACACGUCUUGACGGUACCUAAUCAGAAAGCCACGGCUAACUACGUGCCAGCAGCCGCGGUAAUACGUAGGUGGCAAGCGUUAUCCGGAAGUAUUGGGCGUAAAGCGCGCGUAGGCGGUUUUUUAAGUCUGAGUUGAAAGGCCCAGGCGCAACCGUGGAGGGUCAUUGGAAACUGGAAAACUUGAGUGCAGAAGAGGAAAGUGGAAUUCCAUGGGGAGCGGUGAAAUGCGCAGGGAUAUGGAGGAACCCCAGUGGCGAAGGCGACUUUCUGGUCUGUAACUGACGCUGAUGAGCGAAAGCGUGGGGAUCAAACAGG